CCUACGGGAGGCAGCAGUGAGGAAUAUUGGUCAAUGGACGAGAGUCUGAACCAGCCAAGUAGCGUGAAGGAUGACUGCCCUAUGGGUUGUAAACUUCUUUUAUAUGGGAAUAAAACGUUCCACGUGUGGGAUUUUGUAUGUACCAUAUGAAUAAGGAUCGGCUAACUCCGUGCCAGCAGCCGCGGUAAUACGGAGGAUCCGAGCGUUAUCCGGAUUUAUUGGGUUUAAAGGGAGCGUAGGUGGAUUGUUAAGUCAGUUGUGAAAGUUUGCGGCUCAACCGUAAAAGUGCAGUUGAAACUGGCAGUCUUGAGUAGAGUAGAGGUGGGCGGAAUGCGUGGUGUAGCGGUGAAAUGCUUAGAUAUCACGAAGAACUCCGAUUGCGAAGGCAGUUCACUGGACUGCAACUGACACUGAGGCUCGAAAGUGUGGGUAUCAAACAGGAUUAGAUACCCCAGUAGUC
rnacentral:rRNA from 1 species